AUUAUACUUCCUCCGUCCGGAAAUACUUGUCAUCAAAAUGGAUAAAAAAGAUGUAUCUAGAACUAAAAUACAUCUAGAUACAUCCUCUUUUAUUCAUUUUGAUGACAAGUAUUUCCGGACGGUGGGAGUAUAUC
rfam:Triticum aestivum genome assembly, contig: Triticum_aestivum_CS42_TGACv1_scaffold_607295_7DL